rnacentral:tRNA from 1 species
GCCAAUAGGGCUGCUUUAGCAGGCUACUUUGAUAUAGUAGAUUAAGAACUUGUUGUUUCGUUGGUA